rnacentral:rRNA from 1 species
GACGAACGCUGGCGGCGUGCUUAACACAUGCAAGUCGAACGGGAAGGGCCCGCCUUUUUGGGGGGAGUGGGGGGCGGACGGGUGAGGCACCCGAGCGUGCCCUGCCCUUGGGUUUGGGUUCACUUCAGGGAAACUAGGACCAUAUAGGAUAUGAGCUUCUACUGGGUGGUGGGGGGUGGAAAGUGUGGGUGGUUGGGGAUGGGCCCGCGGCUUAUCUGCUUGUUGGAGGGGUAGUGGCUUACCAAGUUCUUGACGGGUAGCCGGCCUGAGAGGGUGACCGGCCACAUGGGGACUGAGAUACGGCCCAGACUCCUACGGGAGGCAGCAGUGGGGAAUAUUGCACAAUGGGCGGAAGCCUGAUGCAGCAACGCCGCGUGCGGGAUGACGGCCUUCGGGUUGUAAACCGCUUUCGCCUGUGACGAAGCGUGAGUGACGGUAAUGGGUAAAGAAGCACCGGCUAACUACGUG